GACAAAGUAGGAAAGGAUGGAAGAUGAAUAGAGACCCAGACCCAAGAGACAGGUCUACGGUGAGGUAGUUGAUGGCAAAGCUGAGUGGAAAAUGCAGGUGUCUUGACUGCUUGACUUAGAACAAGGGUUCUUUACAGCACACUGCCCACAGGAACAUUUGACAAACGUGCCUUUGAUGAUGCUGGGAUUCCAUUUUCAUUCCCUUGAUUUUAUUUCAGAUGUUUUAAUACAUGAGCACAUGUGCAGACACAGAAUCCCCAGAACACUGGAGUGAGAGAAGAGUGGAUUUCAGCCCUUUCAUUUUGAAGCCUUCUGAUAGCUUCCUGAGUCCUGCUCUCAUCCUUUCCCAUGGCUGACCUCUGAGGAUCACCCAUAUCCUCAUCCUCUUUCAAACUAACACCCACUCAGGACAGAAGACAGAAGUCAGGAGAAAGACCAUGACAAUUACUGGGACCUAAUGGGUGUUUCUGUGGGGUUUAUCAACAACAAGAAGGAAGCCUUAAAUUUAUGUAGGGCUUUAAGGUUUACAAAGUGAACCCUUAACCCUUCACAUGACAGCCCUGUGAGGUAGGUAGCUCAUGUGCCUAUUUUUUUACAUUUGAGGAAACUGAGGCCCAGAGAAGUGAGGGAACUUGCCUAGCUAAUAACAGAGCCUGGAUGUAAGUCCGUUACCUCUGAUUGCAAAUGCAGUGCUCUCCUGGAGAUACCAUGCUGACUUUGAAGGUUCAUUUCCAUUUUCAUAUUGAAUUCUAGCCAAGUAGCUUCCUCAGUCUGCUUCCAUUUCUUGACUUUUUCCAGUUCCUUUUACACUUUGAGAUGCUAACAAGUCAAGUUGUCAGUUUUUCUAGGCAGUGGGAGCUCCUCAUUCAAGUUCAACUGUAAGCCUGACCCCUUCACAAAGGUGGGAGUAGGCAUAGGUGUGGAAUACUCAAUGUAACUUCAGACUUUACCAAUAUUGUUGAACUUUAUCCCCCUCUUUUAUUUCAAGUUUUUGUUCUUUAUUAUAAGGGAUGGCUCUCUGGGAGGAGGUGAAGGAGGGAUGUAGUGGGAAAUGUAGGUGAUAUAAAAAUAAAAGUGAUAAGGAAGUUAACUCCUGAGUGAGG
rnacentral:lncRNA from 1 species